rnacentral:pre_miRNA from 1 species
UUCUGACGCCCUUCAUUCCACCGGAAUCUGUGCACAGGAACCAGAUUUCAGUGAAAUGAAGCCCAUCAGAGA